rnacentral:misc_RNA from 1 species
GAUGAAGAACGCAGCGAAAUGCGAUAAGUAAUGUGAAUUGCAGAAUUCAGUGAAUCAUCGAAUCUUUGAACGCAUAUUGCGCCCGCCAGUAUUCUGGCGGGCAUGCCUGUUCGAGCGUCAUUUCAACCAUCAAGCCCCAGGCUUGUGUUGGGGACCUGCGGCUGCCGCAGGCCCUGAAAACCAGUGGCGGGCUCGCUGUCACACCGGGCGUAGUAGAUUUUAUCUCGCUCAGGGCGUGCUGCGGGUUCCGGCCGUUAAAAAGCCUUUUUUACCCAAGGUUGACCUCGGAUCAGGUAGGAAGACCCGCUGAACUUAAGCAUAUCAAUAAGCGGAGGA